AGAAGCCUAUAACCAUUACUUGUAUGGGAAAUGCAGUACAAGAGAGACAAUCACAAACGUUUUGUCCAUUUGGAUAACAGAUGCAAGAGAGAUUUAGUCAUCAAUGUUUCAUAUGAAGAAGGACUAAUGUAACACUAGAACUAUCAGCAAUGUUGUGGACCAGUGGAGUGCUGACACGACUUUGAUGUUCUAGUGCAAACUUACAGUAACCUAACAACAAGGAACAUUGACUUACAUAACAGCACAUUUUCACACCUGUUGAAUCCCGACAAAUGAAGUGCCCAUUACCCAGAAGUUUGAAUCCCGACAAAAGAAGUGCCCAUUACCCAGAAGCCUACAACUGUUACCUAGGAUCCAACAAUAAAACACUGCUGCACACAUAUUAGAGAUACGAUUAGCCAGGAGCCGAUGUACAUUAUCCAGGAGCCCAUGACCAUAACCCUGGAUUCCAUGACCAUUACCCCGGAGCCUGUGACCAUUAUCAAUGGACCAAGGAUAAAUAUCCAAGAGCUAAGUGUUGUAACUUGACUCACUGAUACAGUAGCAUAAUUUCUUACAGAAAACAAUUCAUCAAUGAAAGUGCAUUUCCACAGGGAUUGUACGGAGAAGAUUAGAUUAUAAGGAAUAACUUAAACUUGCUCUCAACAAGCAUUUUCAUUGGCUCAAGAAGCUUUUGUUGUUUCUGUUGUCUCUUUUGACUGCCUGAUAAAAUAGUGUAAUAAUUUCUAAAAGAAGGAAGAGAUUUCAUCAAGGAAGGAUUGUGUACAACAGUUUAAAUCAGCAAAUUAAACUAUAUGGAUUAACUUUAAUAUAUUUUAAUGUUAAGAAGCUACUACACAAAUUACUGCAGUGCACUUCCAUCAUAAACCUCUAUGUUUUUUUCUUGUGUUUUCAAAUCAAUCUUGAAACCAAUGAUCAUUUUUUCAGGAAACGGGGACCAUUGUUCAGGAGUCAAUUAACAUUAUCUUGGAGCAGGUGACUAUUACCCAGGAGCCCAUAAAACUUACCAGCAGACAUAUUGGAGACCAUAAUCCAGGAGCUGAUGACCAUUAUCCAGGACCGGACAAUAAAACCAGGCAGCAGAUAUAUCCAAAAUCAGAGGUAUCCAUAAAUCCCCUACAGCAUCCCAUUUAGGGGAACACUAGGACAGGGGGGAGGGGGAAGGAGGCACUAGCAGUUGGUAUGCUCACCUUAGCAGAAAGUUAAAGUAAACGGUUCUUAUCAACUUCAAUCUAUCAUAAACUUGUCACAUUUCGAACUUUUCAAGAACCAAUGGUCUGAUUUUUCUUCGACAUAAAUAUUGAUACAAGUAUACCUUUCAUGGUGGCGACCAUGUGUUGAUAAUUUUUGUUUAUAGUACGUCAGUGAUAUGAAUCCCAAGAUGGCCACCCAAUGGCCUCUGCAUAACGCAAACAUUUUUCAGCUUUUCAAAAAACCACCAGGUCUAUUGUGUUCAAACUUGGUACUUGGUCUGAGCUCGAGUGUUCAGGGUAUAUAGGUUGCCAAAAUCUGAAUCUUUUAACUGUCAUUUGUAUAUGGAUACAACAGUAUUACCUAGCGUUGUUAUUAUUGGGGCUUAUUUUACUUUUAUUUACAUAUAAUGCACUUUUAGACAGUACAUGGCAUCCAAAACUCACUUCUACUUCGGAUCAGAGUUACUACUAUUACAUCCAGGAUUAUAAAGAUUAUUAUGUAGAUCCUUGCAUAAUUGAUGUCAACUUCAAAGCUCAUUUAAGUUAUAUAUCCAGCAAAGGAAUUGCAGACUUAGAUUUUUGGUAUACAAUUAACAAAUUUCAUGAAAACCACUGCAGUUAAAUACGCAUUUUUCAUGCUUUCACGGACUAUUUACUAGAAUAAUUGCAAAUAAUCAACCUUUACUGUUCUCAAAAUAAUAAUUUUAUUGAAUCAACAUUUUCAGUUUGAUCAAUUCUCUUUAUACAUUGUUCCAGUUUUUGGAUGUCAAACAUUGUUGUAUAGUAGUAUCUGAUCUAUACAGACACGCAACAGACAUACACCAACAUAGGGUGCAAAAGGAGAGCCUCCACGUGGCGCAUCUGGUAACACUGGACAUUUAAA